rnacentral:misc_RNA from 1 species
GCAAACUUGGUCAUUUAGAGGAAGUAAAAGUCGUAACAAGGUCUCCGUAGGUGAACCUGCGGAGGGAUCAUUACUGAGUGAGGGCCUCCGGUCCGACCUCCAACCCUCUGUGAACCAACACUGUUGCUUCGGGGGCUCCCCUGCCUUUCGGGCUCGGGGCCCCCGGAGGAAAUCAAAAUCUGCAUCUGUGCGUCGGAGUAUCAAUCAAAUUGAACAAAACUUUCAACAACGGAUCUCUUGGUUCUGGCAUCGAUGAAGAACGCAGC